ACAUUAAAACUAGCCUAACCAACUAUAUAAACAAAACCUCAUCAAUUACACUUAUACCACCAUUAUUAAACUUAAAACAUUUUAUACUCUUUAGUAUGGGUGACAGAACAACAAACUUAGCGCAAUAGACUAUGUACCGCAAGGGAAAGCUGAAAAAGAAAUGAAAUAAAUAAUUAAAGUAAUUAAAAGCAGAGACUCAGCCUCGUACCUUUUGCAUCAUGAUUUAGCUAGAUCAACUAGGCAAAGAGAUCUUAAGUCUAUCAUCCCGAAACUAAACGAGCUACUCCGGAGCGGCACAUUAGAGCUAACCCGUCUCUGUGGCAAAAGAGUGGGAAGACUUCCGAGUAGUGGUGAUAAACCUAUCGAGUUUAGUGAUAGCUGGUUGCCCAAGAAAAGAACUUAAAUUCUGCAUCAAUUCUUUUUUACCAAUAAAGAAUUUCUUCUAAGGAAAAAAAUAAGAAUUAAUAGUUAUUUAGAAGAGGUACAGCCCUUCUAAAUUAAGAUACAACUUUUAAAGGUGGGUAAUGAUCACAUUUUUACUAAAGGUUUUUUCCCCAGUGGGCCUAAAAGCAGCCACCUGUAAAGUAAGCGUCACAGCUCCAGCUUUAUAUAAACCUAUAAUUUAGAUACCUUCUCAAAACCCCCUUGCCUGUACUGGGCUAUUUUAUAAAAUUAUAAAAGAACUUAUGCUAAAAUGAGUAAUAAGAGGCCAAACCUCUCCUAACACAAGUGUACAUCAGAAAGAAUUAAAUCACUGAUAAUUAAACGAACCCAAACUGAGGGCAUAAUAAUAAUUUACUAUUAACUAGAAAAACUUAUUUAAUUAUUCGUUAACCCCACACAGGAGUGUCCUAAGGAAAGAUUAAAAGAAAAUAAAGGAACUCGGCAAACAUAAACUCCGCCUGUUUACCAAAAACAUCGCCUCUUGCUUAACUACUAUAAGAGGUCCCGCCUGCCCUGUGAUAAUAUUUAACGGCCGCGGUAUUUUGACCGUGCAAAGGUAGCGUAAUCACUUGUCUUUUAAAUGGAGACCUGUAUGAAAGGCAUCACGAGAGUUUAACUGUCUCUAUUUUCUAAUCAAUGAAAUUGAUCUUCUCGUGCAGAAGCGAGAAUAUUACCAUUAGACGAGAAGACCCUAUGGAGCUUUAAACACUUAAAUUAAUUUUGUAAAAUUAUAAUUCUCUGGAUAAAAUAUCCGUAAAUAUCUAAUUUAAUUGUUUUUGGUUGGGGUGACCUGGGGGAAAAGAAAAUCCCCCCUAUCGAUUGAGUAUUAAAUACUUAAAAAUUAGAACAACAAUUCUAAAUAAUAAAAUAUUUACCGAAAAAUGACCCAGAAUAUUUCUGAUCAAUGAACCAAGUUACCCUAGGGAUAACAGCGCAAUCCUUUCCCAGAGUCCCUAUCGCCGAAAGGGUUUACGACCUCGAUGUUGGAUCAGGACAUCCUAAUGGUGCAACCGCUAUUAAGGGUUCGUUUGUUCAACGAUUAAUAGUCCUACGUGAUCUGAGUUCAGACCGGAGAAAUCCAGGUCAGUUUCUAUCUAUGAAAUUAUUUUUCCUAGUACGAAAGGACCGGAAAAAUGGAGCCAAUACUUUUGGCACGCUCCUUUUUCACCUGCUGAAAUAAACUAAAUUAGGUAAUAAAAAAAUUACCUAGGCCCAAGAUAAGGGUUU
rnacentral:rRNA from 1 species